rnacentral:rRNA from 1 species
AGUGAACGCUGGCGGUAGGCCUAACACAUGCAAGUCGAACGGCAGCACAGUAAGAGCUUGCUCUUACGGGUGGCGAGUGGCGGACGGGUGAGGAAUACAUCGGAAUCUACUUUUUCGUGGGGGAUAACGUAGGGAAACUUACGCUAAUACCGCAUACGACCUACGGGUGAAAGCAGGGGAUCUUCGGACCUUGCGCGAUUGAAUGAGCCGAUGUCGGAUUAGCUAGUUGGCGGGGUAAAGGCCCACCAAGGCGACGACCCGUAGCUGGUCUGAGAGGAUGAUCAGCCACACUGGAACUGGGACACGGUCCAGACUCCUACGGGAGGCAGCAGUGGGGAAUAUUGGACAAUGGGCGCAAGCCUGAUCCAGCCAUACCGCGUGGGUGAAGAAGGCCUUCGGGUUGUAAAGCCCUUUUGUUGGGAAAGAAAAGCAGCAGGUUAAUACCCCGCUGUUCUGACGGUACCCAAAGAAUAAGCACCGGCUAACUUCGUG